CACCCUCCAAGCCUCGCUUGAUGUUGGACGGUGCGUCAGUGACUUCUGACGCACGUCUGGAACGUGUAGACGUCCGUCCUGUCGAGACACCUCGAGCGUAGCAAGACUUUUCUGGUCAUUUUUCGCUUUGUAGGGACUCCAGCGGACUGCCCCUCUGACUUAGGGAGUCAAACCCCCUAAAUCAACUCAAGA
rnacentral:misc_RNA from 1 species